rnacentral:rRNA from 1 species
UGGGGAAUCUUGCGCAAUGGGCGAAAGCCUGACGCAGCGACGCCGCGUGGGGGAUGAAGGCCCUCGGGUUGUAAACCCCUUUCGGCAGGGACGAAGCGAUCGUGACGGUACCUGCAGAAGAAGCCUCGGCUAACUACGUGCCAGCAGCCGCGGUAAGACGUAGGAGGCGAGCGUUGUCCGGAUUCAUUGGGCGUAAAGAGCACGCAGGCGGUUUGGCAAGUCGGAUGUGAAAACCCGGAGCUCAACUCCGGGCGUGCAUCCGAUACUGCCCGACUAGAGGUAGGUAGGGGAGAUCGGAAUUCCUGGUGUAGCGGUGAAAUGCGCAGAUAUCAGGAGGAACACCGGUGGCGAAGGCGGAUCUCUGGGCCUUACCUGACGCUCAGGUGCGAAAGCUAGGGGAGCGAACAG